AUGGCGGCGGCGAAGUUGGUGUUGGCGAUGCUCGUGGUGGCGGUUGGCGUCGCGGCGGGGGAGGGCGGCGGGAAGCUCCGGCAGGGGUACUACGAGCAGAGCUGCCCGCGGGCGGAGCAGAUCGUGAAGCACUACGUGGAGCGGCACGUCCCGCACGCGCCCUCCGUCGCCGCCACCCUCAUCCGCACCCACUUCCACGACUGCUUCGUCAGGGGAUGCGACGCGUCGGUGCUGCUGAACGCGACGACCGGCGGCGGGGAGGCCGAGAAGGACGCGACGCCCAACCUGACGCUGCGCGGCUUCGCCUUCCUGGACCGCGUCAAGGCGCUGGUCGAGCAGGAGUGCCCCGGCGUCGUCUCCUGCGCCGACAUCCUCGCGCUCGCGUCCCGCGACGCCGUCGGCGUCAUCGGCGGGCCGUUCUGGCGCGUGCCGACGGGGCGGCGCGACGGCAGGGUGUCGAUCAAGCAGGAGGCGCUGGACCAGAUCCCGGCGCCCACCAUGAACUUCACCGACCUCCUCACCUCCUUCCGCGCCAAGGGCCUCGACGUCGCCGACCUCGUCUGGCUCUCAGGGGCACACACCAUCGGCAUCUCGCACUGCAACUCCUUCACCGAGCGGCUAUACAACUUCACCGGCCGCGGAGGACCCGGGGACGCCGACCCAUCUCUUGAUGCGGAGUAUGCUGCCAACCUCCGCCGGACCAAGUGCACCACACCCACGGACAACACCACCAUCGUGGAGAUGGACCCUGGGAGCUUCCUCACCUUUGACACUAGCUACUACCGCGGCCUCCUCAAGCGCCGGGGACUCUUCCAGUCCGACGCUGCGCUCAUCACCGACACAGCGGCGAGGGCCGACGUCGAGAGCGUGGCCAAGGGUCCCUCAGAGGUGUUCUUCCAGGUGUUCGCACGGUCCAUGGUGAGGAUGGGCAUGAUAGAAGUGAAGACCGGUGGCGAGGGGGAGAUCAGACGGCAUUGUGCCGUUGUCAACAGCUAG
rnacentral:rRNA from 1 species